UUUACCUUAAAAGAGAAAGUUAACCCAAUUGGAACGGUACAGAGAAGCAUGGCCCUUACACAAAGAUGACACGCAAAUUCAUGAAGCGUUCCGUAUUUUU
ensembl:snRNA U6 U6 spliceosomal RNA